rnacentral:rRNA from 1 species
UACGGAGGGUGCAAGCGUUAUCCGGCUUCACUGGGUUUAAAGGGUGCGUCGGUGGGUUGGUAAGUCAGUGGUGAAAUCCCCGAGCUUAACUUGGGAACUGCCAUUGAUACUAUUAACCUUGAAUACCGUGGAGGUCAGCGGAAUAUGUCAUGUAGCGGUGAAAUGCUUAGAUAUGACAUAGAACACCAAUUGCGAAGGCAGCUCACUACACGCAUAUUGACUCUGAGGCACGAAAGCGUGGGGAUCAAACAGG